UACGUAGGGGGCAAGCGUUGUUCGGAAUCACUGGGCGUAAAGGGAGCGUAGGCGGGCUCUUAAGUUGGAUGUUUAAAACCGGGGCCCAACCCCGGCGUGGCAUCCAAAACUGGGAGUCUUGAAUGGAACAGAGGCUAGUGGAAUUGGAGGUGUAGCGGUGGAAUGCGUAGAGAUCUCCAAGAACACCCGUUGCGAAGGCGGCUAGCUGGGUUCACAUUGACGCUGAGGCUCGAAAGCGUGGGGAGCAAACAGG
rnacentral:rRNA from 1 species